GAUGAACGCUGGCGGCGUGCCUAAUACAUGCAAGUCGAGCGAACAGACGAGGAGCUUGCUCCUCUGACGUUAGCGGCGGACGGGUGAGUAACACGUGGAUAACCUACCUAUAAGACUGGGAUAACUUCGGGAAACCGGAGCUAAUACCGGAUAAUAUAUUGAACCGCAUGGUUCAAUAGUGAAAGACGGUUUUGCUGUCACUUAUAGAUAGAUCCGCGCCGCAUUAGCUAGUUGGUAAGGUAACGGCUUACCAAGGCAACGAUGCGUAGCCGACCUGAGAGGGUGAUCGGCCACACUGGAACUGAGACACGGUCCAGACCCCUACGGGAGGCAGCAGUAGGGAAUCUUCCGCAAUGGGCGAAAGCCUGACGGAGCAACGCCGCGUGAGUGAUGAAGGUCUUCGGAUCGUAAAACUCUGUUAUUAGGGAAGAACAAAUGUGUAAGUAACUAUGCACGUCUUGACGGUACCUAAUCAGAAAGCCACGGCUAACUACGUG
rnacentral:rRNA from 1 species